AUGCAAGUCGAACGAGUUCAUUUGGUAGCAAUACCGAGCGAAGCUAGUGGCGAACGGGUGCGUAACACAUGAGUCAUCUGCCCAGAAGUGGGGAAUAGCUCGGCGAAAGCCGGAUUAAUACCGCAUGUGGUCGUAAGACCAAAGCCGGGGCAACCUGGCGCUUUUGGAGGAGCUCGUGGCCUAUCAGCUAGUUGGUGAGGUAACGGCUUACCAAGGCAACGACGGGUAGCUGGUCUGAGAGGACGACCAGCCACACUGGAACUGAGAUACGGUCCAGACACCUACGGGUGGCAGCAGUCGAGAAUUUUUCUCAAUGGGGGAAACCCUGAAGGAGCGACGCCGCGUGGAGGAUGAAUGCUUUCGGGUUGUAAACUCCUGUCAUUUGGGAACAAGGCCUUACGUUAACUGCGUGGAGGAUUGAUAGUACCAGAAGAGGAAGAGACGGCUAACUCUGUGCCAGCAGCCGCGGUAAUACAGAGGUCUCGAGCGUUGUUCGGAUUCAUUGGGCGUAAAGGGCGCGUAGGCGGCGGGGUAAGUCUGGUGUGAAAUCUAGGAGCUCAACUCCUAAACUGCACUGGAUACUGCUCUGC
rnacentral:rRNA from 1 species